rfam:Stegodyphus mimosarum contig37043, whole genome shotgun sequence.
GCCUUCGUGGUGUAAUGGUUAGCACACUCGGCACGUAUUCGAGAGGUCCAGGGUUCGAGUCCCGGCAAGGGCA